UACAGAGGUCCCAAGCGUUGUUCGGAUUCACUGGGCGUAAAGGGUGCGUAGGCGGUCGGGUAAGUCUGGCGUGAAAUCUCCAAGCCUAACUUGGAAACUGCGUUGGAUACUAUCCGGCUCGAGGAAUGGAGGGGAGAGUGGAAUUCCUGGUGUAGCGGUGAAAUGCGCAGAUAUCAGGAAGAACACCCGUGGCGAAAGCGGCUCUCUGGAACGGUACUGACGCUGAGACGCGAAAGCGUGGGGAGCGAACAGG
rnacentral:rRNA from 1 species